UGUAGGUUGACUAUGAGGCUAACGGAUAAUUUGUUUAUCUGAGGAAAGUCCACACACCAUUAAUCUGCUUGUGGCAACGCAAGAAGGGGAAACUCUUGGCAAGCCGUACAGAAACUAGACCACCUUUUGACAAUGGAAUGAUAAGCUCGAAGACAAACGGUAACGAUUGUCCAGUAAGACUUUGACGUCUCAAAAGGAAAGGAUGAAAUAUGAGAACCCAGAAGGUGCAAGUCUUUGACGCAUAGUUGAAUGCCUUAACAAGCCAUCGCAGCUCCAAGUGAACUGUUUGGGCUUAUGACAGAAUGUGGCUUAUUGCAACCUACA
rnacentral:RNase_P_RNA from 1 species